rnacentral:rRNA from 1 species
CCUACGGGUGGCAGCAGUGGGGAAUUUUGGGCAAUGGGCGCAAGCCUGACCCAGCAACGCCGCGUGAAGGAAGAAGGCUUUCGGGUUGUAAACUUCUUUUGUCAGGGAAGAGUAGAAGACGGUACCUGACGAAUAAGCCACGGCUACAUACGUGCCAGCAGCCGCGGUAAUACCUAGGUGGCAGACGUUGUCCGGAUUUACUGGGUGUAAAGGGCGUGUAGCCGGGUUGACAAGUCAGAUGUGAAAUCCUGUGGCUUAACCGCAGAACUGCAUUUGAAACUGUUGAUCUUGAGUACGAGAGAGGCAGAUGGAACUACUAGUGUAGCGGUGAAAUGCGUAGAUAUUAGGAGGAACACCAGUGGCGAAGGCGGUCUGCUGGAUAGAAACUGACGGUGAGGCGCGAAAGCGUGGGGAGCAAACAGGAUUAGAUACCCGGGUAGUC